CUCAGUAACCCGAGGAAAAGACAUCAAUAGAGAUUCCCCUAGUAGCGGCGAGCGAACGGGGAGCAGCCCAUUAAGUUAUGUGUGUUUUAGUGGAACGCUCUGGGAAGUGCGAACGUAGAGGGUGAUAUUCCCGUACACGAAAGGGCACACAUAAUGAUGACGAGUAGGGCGAGGCACGUGAAACCUUGUCUGAAUAUGGGGGGACCAUCCUCCAAGGCUAAAUACUCCUGACUGACCGAUAGUGAACCAGUACCGUGAGGGAAAGGCGAAAAGAACCCCUGUGAGGGGAGUGAAAUAGAUCCUGAAACCGCAUGCAUACAAGCAGUGGGAGCCGACUUGUUCGGUGACUGCGUACCUUUUGUAUAA
rnacentral:rRNA from 13 species